rnacentral:rRNA from 19 species
AAAACUUUCAACAACGGAUCUCUUGGUUCUGGCAUCGAUGAAGAACGCAGCGAAAUGCGAUAAGUAAUGUGAAUUGCAGAAUUCAGUGAAUCAUCGAAUCUUUGAACGCACAUUGCGCCCCCUGGUAUUCCGGGGGGCAUGCCUGUUCGAGCGUCAUUG